rnacentral:rRNA from 1 species
UACGAAGGGGGCUAGCGUUGUUCGGAUUCAUUGGGCGUAAAGGGUGCGCAGGCGGUGUGCUAAGUCGGAUGUGAAAUCUCACAGCCUAACUGUGAUAGGUCAUUCGAAACUGGCAUGCUAGAGGAUUGGAGAGGAGACUGGAAUAGUUGGUGUAGCAGUGAAAUGCGUAGAGAUCAACUAGAACACCGGUGGCGAAAGGCGAGUCUCUGGACAAUUCCUGACGCUCAGGCACGAA